GAUGAACGCUGGCGGCGUGCCUAAUACAUGCAAGUCGAGCGAACGGACGAGAAGCUUGCUUCUCUGAUGUUAGCGGCGGACGGGUGAGUAACACGUGGAUAACCUACCUAUAAGACUGGGAUAACUUCGGGAAACCGUAGCUAAUACCGGAUAAUAUUUUGAACCGCAUGGUUCAAAAGUGAAAGACGGUCUUGCUGUCACUUAUAGAUGGAUCCGCGCUGCAUUAGCUAGUUGGUAAGGUAACGGCUUACCAAGGCAACGAUGCAUAGCCGACCUGAGAGGGCGAUCGGCCACACUGGAACUGAGACACGGUCCAGACUCCUACGGGAGGCAGCAGUAGGGAAUCUUCCGCAAUGGGCGAAAGCCUGACGGAGCAACGCCGCGUGAGUGAUGAAGGUCUUCGGAUCGUAAAACUCUGUUAUUAGGGAAGAACAUAUGUGUAAGUAACUGUGCACAUCUUGACGGUACCUAAUCAGAAAGCCACGGCUAACUACGUGCCAGCAGCCGUGGUAAUACGUAGGUGGCAAGCGUUAUCCGGAAUUAUUGGGCGUAAAGCGCGCGUAGGCGGUUUUUUAAGUCUGAUGUGAAAGCCCACGGCUCAACCGUGGAGGGUCAUUGGAAACUGGAAAACUUGAGAGCAGAAGAGGAAAGUGGAAUUCCAUGUGUAGCGGUGAAAUGCGCAGAGAUAUGGAGGAACACCAGUGGCGAAGGCGACUUUCUGGUCUGUAACUGACGCUGAUGUGCGAAAGCGUGGGGAUCAAACAGGAUUAGAUACCCUGGUAGUCCACGCCGUAAACGAUGAGUGCUAAGUGUUAGGGGGUUUCCGCCCCUUAGUGCUGCAGCUAACGCAUUAGGCACUCCGCCUGGGGAGUACGACCGCAAGGUG
rnacentral:rRNA from 1 species